AGCUGAAGAGAGGAAGAUGUUUGUUUAGAAAAGAGACAGAAAAUUAAUGACACCACAUCACCGCAAAAAGCAAGCUCCCAAGAACUGGUUUGUGCGCAAAAGAAAGGGUGUGUAAUGACUGGAAUAUCCAUAAUGCUGUUUAAAGAAAGUUAGCGAAAGUGAAAGAAUCAUGCCAUGCUCGCCAAGACGCACGCCUCAGCAUUUGGGGACAGCACGCGUGAUCAUUUUAAAAUGUUUCAAGACCUUUCGAUUAUGAAAACGGCUGAAUCUGCGCAUGCUCCAUGAAAUCACAACAAAGAAAACUCGAACAAAUAAAAUUACCUUGAGUAAUGAAUGACGCUCCCGGGCAAAUAAAUGUUUAUUUCGUAGUAAACACGUUAUAACAUAACUUUAUAGUUCCAUUGCGUUUUUUCUCAAUUUUUAUCAAAACGAGGCUUUCUAUUUCACGAAAUCGAAUGCAAUACGUCGAAAAGCAUCUAACGUCAUCAUUUAAUGACGGCAGAGAUCGACUUUGAGCAAAUUUGAGCGCUGGUAUCUAUGCUAAGCUAUUUAUGGUUCUUGCGAAUCAAUAAAUACAUUUUAUAAGACACAAGUUAAUGUGGGAAGAGAGGGAAAGAGUUGCCAAAAAUGAAACAGAAAAUAAGACAAAUCUUACUUACUCGAAAAGAUGUAAUAAAAUACGGAAGUGCCGCAAACAUAUUGAAAUUCGAAUUCCUAAACGAUGAUAAUUUUUGAUAUAGGCUGUGGUGGAUGUGUUUGACGUCCGGUUAUUAAGCAGGUACUUAUGUAAUUUAUUCAUUAAAAACAUUUCAAAAGAUA